UACGGGGGGGGCAAGCGUUGUUCGGAAUUACUGGGCGUAAAGGGCUCGUAGGCGGCCAACUAAGUCAGACGUGAAAUCCCCAGGCUUAACCCGGAAAGGUCAGCCGAUACUGCGGGGCUAGAGUGCAGAAGGGGCAACUGGAAUUCUCGGUGUAGCGGUGAAAUGCGUAGAUAUCGAGAGGAACACCUGCGGCGAAGGCGGGUUGCUGGGCUGACACUGACGCUGAGGCGCGAAAGCUGGGGGAGCGAACAGG
rnacentral:rRNA from 1 species